AGCAGCCGCGGUAAUUCCAGCUCCAAUAGCGUAUAUUAAAGUUGUUGCAGUUAAAAAGCUCGUAGUUGAAUUUCGGGAUUGACGUGAUGGUCGUACCUUAAGGGGUAUGAACUGUCGCUGUUGAUUUCUCACCUUCUGGAGAAACUUGAUGUCCUUAAUUGGGUGUCUCGCGGAUCCAGGACCUUUACCUUGAAAAAUUAGAGUGUUUAAAGCAGGCAUUUUUGCUCGAAUACAUUAGCAUGGAAUAAUAGAAUAGGACGGCAUGGCUCUAUUUUGUUGGUUUCUAGGAUCACCGUAAUGAUUAAUAGGGAUAGUUGGGGGCAUUAGUAUUCAAUUGUCAGAGGUGAAAUUCUUGGAUUUAUUGAAGACUAACUACUGCGAAAGCAUUUGUCAAGGAUGUUUUCAUUAAUCAAGAACGAAAGUUAGGGGAUCGAAGACGAUCAGAUACCGUCGUAGUCUUAACCAUAAAACUNUGCCGACUAGGAAUCAGACGAUGUUAAUUUUAUG
rnacentral:rRNA from 1 species